rnacentral:rRNA from 1 species
AGAGUUUGAUCCUGGCUCAGGAUGAACGCUGGCGGCGUGCCUAAUACAUGCAAGUCGAGCGAACGGACGAGAAGCUUGCUUCUCUGAUGUUAGCGGCGGACGGGUGAGUAACACGUGGAUAACCUACCUAUAAGACUGGGAUAANUUCGGGAAACCGGAGCUAAUACCGGAUAAUAUUUUGAACCGCAUGGUUCAAAAGUGAAAGACGGUCUUGCUGUCACUUAUAGAUGGAUCCGCGCUGCAUUAGCUAGUUGGUAAGGUAACGGCUUACCAAGGCAACGAUGCAUAGCCGACCUGAGAGGGUGAUCGGCCACACUGGAACUGAGACACGGUCCAGACUCCUACGGGAGGCAGCAGUAGGGAAUCUUCCGCAAUGGGCGAAAGCCUGACGGAGCAACGCCGCGUGAGUGAUGAAGGUCUUCGGAUCGUAAAACUCUGUUAUUAGGGAAGAACAUAUGUGUAAGUAACUGUGCACAUCUUGACGGUACCUAAUCAGAAAGCCACGGCUAACUACGUGCCAGCAGCCGCGGUAAUACGUAGGUGGCAAGCGUUAUCCGGAAUUAUUGGGCGUAAAGCGCGCGUAGGCGGUUUUUUAAGUCUGAUGUGAAAGCCCACGGCUCAACCGUGGAGGGUCAUUGGAAACUGGAAAACUUGAGUGCAGAAGAGGAAAGUGGAAUUCCAUGUGUAGCGGUGAAAUGCGCAGAGAUAUGGAGGAACACCAGUGGCGAAGGCGACUUUCUGGUCUGUAACUGACGCUGAUGUGCGAAAGCGUGGGGAUCAAACAGGAUUAGAUACCCUGGUAGUCCACGCCGUAAACGAUGAGUGCUAAGUGUUAGGGGGUUUCCGCCCCUUAGUGCUGCAGCUAACGCAUUAAGCACUCCGCCUGGGGAGUACGACCGCAAGGUUGAAACUCAAAGGAAUUGACGGGGACCCGCACAAGCGGUGGAGCAUGUGGUUUAAUUCGAAGCAACGCGAAGAACCUUACCAAAUCUUGACAUCCUUUGACAACUCUAGAGAUAGAGCCUUCCCCUUCGGGGGACAAAGUGACAGGUGGUGCAUGGUUGUCGUCAGCUCGUGUCGUGAGAUGUUGGGUUAAGUCCCGCAACGAGCGCAACCCUUAAGCUUAGUUGCCAUCAUUAAGUUGGGCACUCUAAGUUGACUGCCGGUGACAAACCGGAGGAAGGUGGGGAUGACGUCAAAUCAUCAUGCCCCUUAUGAUUUGGGCUACACACGUGCUACAAUGGACAAUACAAAGGGCAGCGAAACCGCGAGGUCAAGCAAAUCCCAUAAAGUUGUUCUCAGUUCGGAUUGUAGUCUGCAACUCGACUACAUGAAGCUGGAAUCGCUAGUAAUCGUAGAUCAGCAUGCUACGGUGAAUACGUUCCCGGGUCUUGUACACACCGCCCGUCACACCACGAGAGUUUGUAACACCCGAAGCCGGUGGAGUAACCUUUUAGGAGCUAGCCGUCGAAGGUGGGACAAAUGAUUGGGGUGAAGUCGUAACAAGGUAGCCGUAUCGGAAGGUGCGGCUGGAUCACCU